rnacentral:rRNA from 1 species
GACGAACGCUGGCGGCGUGCCUAAUACAUGCAAGUCGAACGCAGUGGGGACGGGUGAGUAACACGUGGGUAACCUCCCAUCAGAGGGGAUAACACUUGGAAACAGGUGCUAAACCGAUACUGAUGGAUGGACCCGCGGUGCAUUAGCUAGGUGGUGAGGUAACGGCUCACCAAGGCCACGAUGCAUAGCCGGCCUGGGGAGGUGGUCCGCCAAACUGGGAACUGGGCACGGCCCAGACUCCUACGGGGGGCAGCAGUAGGGAAACUUCGGCAAUGGAGGAAAGGCUGACCGAGGAACGGCGGGUGAGUGGAGAAGGUUUUCGGAUCGUAAAGCUCUGUUGUUAGGGAAGCGGUAACUAACCAGAAAGGGACGGCUAACUACGUGCCAGCAGCCGCGGUAAUUC